CGGGACACGUGGUAUCCUGUCUGAAUAUGGGGGGACCAUCCUCCAAGGCUAAAUACUCCUGACUGACCGAUAGUGAACCAGUACCGUGAGGGAAAGGCGAAAAGAACCCCGGCGAGGGGAGUGAAAAAGAACCUGAAACCGUGUACGUACAAGCAGUGGGAGCACAGAGCAAUCUGUGUGACUGCGUACCUUUUGUAUAAUGGGUCAGCGACUUAUAUUCUGUAGCAAGGUUAACCGAAUAGGGGAGCCGAAGGGAAACCGAGUCUUAACUGGGCGUUAAGUUGCAGGGUAUAGACCCGAAACCCGGUGAUCUAGCCAUGGGCAGGUUGAAGGUUGGGUAACACUAACUGGAGGACCGAACCGACUAAUGUUGAAAAAUUAGCGGAUGACUUGUGGCUGGGGGUGAAAGGCCAAUCAAACCGGGAGAUAGCUGGUUCUCCCCGAAAGCUAUUUAGGUAGCGCCUCGUGAAUUCAUCUCCGGGGGUAGAGCACUGUUUCGGCAAGGGGGUCAUCCCGACUUACCAACCCGAUGCAAACUGCGAAUACCGGAGAAUGUUAUCACGGGAGACACACGGCGGGUGCUAACGUCCGUCGUGAAGAGGGAAACAACCCAGACCGCCAGCUAAGGUCCCAAAGUCAUGGUUAAGUGGGAAACGAUGUGGGAAGGCCCAGACAGCCAGGAUGUUGGCUUAGAAGCAGCCAUCAUUUAAAGAAAGCGUAAUAGCUCACUGGUCGAGUCGGCCUGCGCGGAAGAUGUAACGGGGCUAAACCAUGCACCGAAGCUGCGGCAGCGACGCUUAUGCGUUGUUGGGUAGGGGAGCGUUCUGUAAGCCUGCGAAGGUGUGCUGUGAGGCAUGCUGGAGGUAUCAGAAGUGCGAAUGCUGACAUAAGUAACGAUAAAGCGGGUGAAAAGCCCGCUCGCCGGAAGACCAAGGGUUCCUGUCCAACGUUAAUCGGGGCAGGGUGAGUCGACCCCUAAGGCGAGGCCGAAAGGCGUAGUCGAUGGGAAACAGGUUAAUAUUCCUGUACUUGGUGUUACUGCGAAGGGGGGACGGAGAAGGCUAUGUUGGCCGGGCGACGGUUGUCCCGGUUUAAGCGUGUAGGCUGGUUUUCCAGGCAAAUCCGGAAAAUCAAGGCUGAGGCGUGAUGACGAGGCACUACGGUGCUGAAGCAACAAAUGCCCUGCUUCCAGGAAAAGCCUCUAAGCAUCAGGUAACAUCAAAUCGUACCCCAAACCGACACAGGUGGUCAGGUAGAGAAUACCAAGGCGCUUGAGAGAACUCGGG
rnacentral:rRNA from 1 species